GCAGUACCGUAAGGAGCUGUGGACUGCAUGGAAGAGAGAAUGCCGGAAUGAGUAGCGAGAUAAAGGUGGGAAUCCUUUAGGCCGAAUAUCCAAGGUUUCCAGGGUAAAGCUGAUCUGCCCUGGGUAAGUCGGGGCCUAAGGCGAGGACGAGAGUCGUAGCCGAUGGACAACAGGUGGAGAUUCCUGUACUGCGGUAUGACAGAACUGUGGGGACACGUAAGGAAAGCGGAAGCCGGGAAUGGAAAGCCCGGUGCAAGCGGGGUACCAGUCACUUUGGCAAAUCCGGGUGGCAAUGGGAAGCCGUGAUGCGGAGCGAAAUAAAGUAGCGAAGUCCGUGAGCCAUGCGUCAAGAAAAGCCGCUAUUGUUUGUAUCGCGCCCGUACCGUAAACCGACACAGGUGGAUGAGGAGAGAAUCCUAAGGCCGGCGGAAGAAGCAUUGUUAAGGAACUCGGCAAAAUGACCCCGUAACUUCGGGAGAAGGGGUGCCAACGAGAGUUGGCCGCAGAGAAUAGGCUCAAGCAACUGUUUAGCAAAAACACAGGUCUAUGCAAAACCGUAAGGUGAGGUAUAUGGGCUGACGCCUGCCCGGUGCUGGAAGGUUAAGAGGAGAGGUUAGCGGUAACGCGAAGCUUUGAAUUUAAGCCCCAGUAAACGGCGGCCGUAACUAUAACGGUCCUAAGGUAGCGAAAUUCCUUGUCAGGUAAGUUCUGACCCGCAUGAAAGGCGUAAUGAUUUGGGCACUGUCUCAACAGCCCGCCCGGCGAAAUUGUAGUACCGGUGAAGAUGCCGGUUACCCGCGACAAGACGGAAAGACCCCAUGGAGCUUUACUGUAGCCUAAUAUUGGGUUUCGAUGUUGCAUGCACAGGAUAGAUGGGACACUGGGAAGUGAUCGCUUUGGCGGUCGUGGAGUGGCCGUUGGGAUACCAUCCUUGCGAUAUUGGAAUUCUAACCUGCGCCUUUGAAUCAAGGCGGGGGACAUUGUUAGGUGGGCAGUUUGACUGGGGCGGUCGCCUCCUAAAGGGUAACGGAGGCGCGCGAAGGUCCGCUCGGGACGGUCGGCAACCGUCCUUUUGAAUGCAAGAGUACAAGCGGGCUUGACUGCGAGGCCAACAAGCCGAGCAGGUGCGAAAGCAGGCUCUAGUGAUCCGGCGGCCCCGAGUGGGUGGGCCGUCGCUCAACGGAUAAAAGGUACUCCGGGGAUAACAGGCUGAUCUUGCCCAAGAGUCCACAUCGACGGCAAGGUUUGGCACCUCGAUGUCGGCUCAUCGCAUCCUGGGGCUGUAGCAGGUCCCAAGGGUUGGGCUGUUCGCCCAUUAAAGCGGUACGCGAGCUGGGUUCAG
rnacentral:rRNA from 1 species